UCUAAAAUCUAUGCAAAGUAAGUUUAAGCUUUAAACAUUAUAAAAUGGUCAUAUCUUUUUCUAUUUGAUACAUGCAAAAGAAAGGGAAAUAUAUGGCUAAACUUGUGACGAAUAAAAGUUCUACACACAUUUUAUUAAGCGAUUCUUCAGAACUUUUAUUCAUAUGAAAGCCAAGGGAAACUGGGAAUUGGGGGAAGGGCUCUUUUUCGAGGAGAGACUAGCAGCGUGUCUUGGAUUUACACAGUGGAUUGCAUACAGAGGCAGCUAGAAGUCACGACAGAGUUAUGAGAUGGCAUGCAUCUUGUACCGGAGAUCCAAGGCAUACGGGAAAAGAAAUACCUUAAAGCAACCAACAAUAUAUUGUUUAAACUGAAGCAAACGUUCAAACAUGGCCGCAAAGCUAAAUGUGCGAAUCACAGACCACUAUAUCUAAGGGGAAAUCAGUUUCAGACGCAUG